AACGAACGCUGGCGGCAGGCUUAACACAUGCAAGUCGAACGACCCGCUCGGGGCGUGGCGGACGGGUGUGUGACGCGUGGGGAUCUACCCCCCUCUACGGAGUAACGCAUGGCGACGUGUGUUCAUAUCGUAUAUGCUCUCCGGGGGCAAGAUUUAUCGGGGAUGGAUGGGCCCGCGUUGGAUUAGCUAGUUGGUGGGGUAAAGGCCUACCACGGCGACGAUCCAUAGCUGGUCUGAGAGGAUGAUCAGCCACAUUGGGACUGAGACACGGCCCAAACUCCUACGGGAGGCAGCAGUGGGGAAUAUUGGACAAUGGGCGCAAGCCUGAUCCAGCCAUGCCGCGUGAGUGAUGAAGGCCUUAGGGUUGUAAAGCUCUUUCACCGGAGAAGAUAAUGACAGUAUCCGGAGAAGAAGCCCCGGCUAACUUCGUG
rnacentral:rRNA from 1 species